CAUAUAAAUAAAUAAAUUCCCUCAAAUGCAAUUAAACUGAAAAUUAAAUUUUGUGUAAAUUUUAUUGUGCUAAACGCAGUUAUGAACUUAUGAUGACCUUUGUUAAACCAUCUCUUGUUUUCAUGAUCUAUAAUACAAAUUCUAUACUAGUGUUGAUGCAAUUUUUCCCAUCCCCUAUAAAAAAUUAAUAAACAAAGCAUCCAUUAUUGACAUACUAAGAACAUGAUUCUUUGUUGAUUUCUUUUGUUUUAACCUGGAGUAAACAUCAUGCUUUGAAUCAGAAUAGAAAACAGCUCAAAAGUAAGAAUACAUAGAAGUGACAACGUUACAUUACUUAUUACUUAGCAUAUAUUCUAAUCAGACAGCUAAAAUGAACAUAGCCAUUAAUUUCUAAUGUUCACACGUGAAGCAAUAUUUGCACACCCCUUAAGUAAGAAAAGUAAGAAAAGAAUAUAUGCAUGAUCAGUUGAGGAGGAAGGUGAAACCAUGAGUCGCAACAUGAACAAUUUCACGCCUUUGCCGGGGCUUUGGGAGAACAGGUUCUAGAGCCUAUGAUGAUGCUCCUCACACUUCCAGUAAUACUCAUCAAUCCAAUGAAGUUCCUGUGUUUUACCGAUCUCGUCACUCUACUAGGACCAAUGGUGAGAGGAGUUUAGGUGCACAAGAUCCAUUAAGGUUGUGGGAAAUCAGAAGAACUCCUACAGAACAUCAUAGAGCAUCAAAUUUUCCAGCACAAACUCAUAGAAGACAACAAACUUAUGUUCCUAAUGAAGAAAUGGGAAGAAGAGGUUUUCAACCCAUCCAGACUCAGACAAAUUUUCCAGCAUUCACCUGUAAGAUCGACAUCAACGCCUCAAACAAACACACAAGUUCCGCAUUGUGGUAGAAGAUUCCAAAUCAACUAUUUUGAGCAAGUUACGAAAAGUAGUCUAUAACCCUAUGCCAACGCAGUUAGCUAGAAAAGUGAGCUUAUAUUAUAGAGGAAAUGCUUCGAAUGGUUUGAAAGAGAGUGUGAAAGAAAAGAAUGAAGAUGGUAUGAAAUGUGCUAUUUGCUUGGAAGAUUUUGAGACUAAAGAAGAAGUGAUGCUUACUCCAUGCAACCACAUGUUUCAUGAGGAUUGUAUUGUAACUUGGUUAACAAGCAAAGGUCAGUGUCCUGUGUGUAGGUUUGUGAUUUUUGAGGAAGUGAAGGGAAAUUCAUCUUCUUUAAAUGGGAAUGACAUUGCCAAUUGGGAACCCAAUGGCAUGAUCUCUGGAGAGCUUUUGUCAAUUUUGAGGGGCCAUGGAAGAAGCUUUUCAAGUAGAGGGCAUGGAUUAAUGUUUUAAAAGUCAAACCGAAUAUUGAACUAAUGAGACUUCUUUGGAUCAUGGUUCAAUCGUCUUAAACGUUCAAUCAUGACGAAACCGAGAUCUAGCUGAAGUAAUUGUUGGUUCAAGGUUAAAGGAUUGAAUGGUAGGAUUUGGUUUGGUUUUUAAAACAGAUUUACUGUUUAAUUUGUGAGGGACAAUGUUAAUCAGUAGUAUUUCCUAUAGUUUAGUUUAGUAUUUUGAGUUCUGCAAACUUGCGUCUAAUGACCCAUUGUUUGUUCUUUUACUUCUAGUUUCAUAUAACGGCCAAGGAAUAUACAUUAGUUUUUUUUUUGUUACUAAACUAUACAAUAGUUUGUAAUCUGGAGGGGAAAAACCCAAAUUAUGUUCACUUUGCUUGAAAUGUGAAUUUAUGAUAAACUUAGAUGAAAGAUUUCUAGUUUCUUCGUUGGUAGACAUAUACGCACAAU